AUUGAACGCUGGCGGCAGGCUUAACACAUGCAAGUCGAACGAGGGGCGGACGGGUGAGUAAUGCUUGGGAAUCCAGCUUAUGGAGGGGGAUAACUACGGGAAACUGUAGCUAAUACCGCGUACCAUAGGAUGAGCCCAAGUGGGAUUAGGUAGUUGGUGAGGUAAAGGCUCACCAAGCAGACGAUCUCUAGCUGGUCUGAGAGGAUGACCAGCCACACUGGGACUGAGACACGGCCCAGACUCCUACGGGGGGCAGCAGUGGGGAAUAUUGCGCAAUGGGGGCAACCUGACGCAGCCAUGCCGCGGGAAUGAAGAAGGCCUUCGGGUUGUAAAGUUCUUUCGGUAGGGAGGCGGUAACUACAGAAGAAGCACCGGCUAACUCCGUGCCAGCAGCCGCGGUAAUAC
rnacentral:rRNA from 1 species